GGUUUCACAUUCAAAUUGAGAGCCUGGAUCAUUGAGGAGGCCGACAUCAUGAAUAGCUGAAUUCUAGAUUGAGAUAAAAAAAUGAGAGCUUGGGUACUCUAUUGUACCUGCAUGAUGCGGUGCACAGCGCACUAUUCAUCGCACGAUGGAUGGCUGCAUGCGGAUGUACAUUCAUUGUACGCGAUCGUCCAUCGUGCGAUGGACGAGGUGCGCUGUGCAUCGUACGGUACGGUGCACAGCAGAGGAUCCAUGC
rnacentral:lncRNA from 1 species